rnacentral:rRNA from 1 species
GACGAACGCUGGCGGCGUGCUUAACACAUGCAAGUCGAACGGAAAGGCCCUGCUUUUGUGGGGUGCUCGAGUGGCGAACGGGUGAGUAACACGUGAGUAACCUGCCAUUGACUUUGGGAUAACUUCAGGCAACUGGGGCUAAUACCGGAUAGGAGCUCCUGCUGAAUGGUGGGGGCGGGAUAGUUUCGGCGGUUGGGUAUGGAUUCGCGUCCUAUUAGCUUGUUGGUGGGGUAGUGGCUUACCAAGGCUUUGAUGGGUAGCCGGCCUGAGAGGGUGACCUGCCACAUCGGGACUGGAAUACGGCCCAGGCUCCUACGGGAGGCAGCAGUGGGGAGUAUUGCGCAAUGGACGGAAGCCUGGUGCAACGUCGCCGCGUGCAGGAUGACGGCCUUCGGGUUGUAGUCCGCUUUCGCAUGUGACGGAGCGUGAGUAACGGUAAAGGGUAAAGAAGCACCGGCUAACUACGUG